rnacentral:rRNA from 1 species
GACGAACGCUGGCGGCGUGCUUAACACAUGCAAGUCGAACGGAAAGGCCCUGCGCUUGUGGGGUGCUCGAUUGGCGAACGGGUGAGUAACACGUGAGUAACCUGCCCUUGACUUUGGGAUAACUUCAGGGAACUGGGGCGAAUACCGGAUAUGAGCUCCUGCUGCAUAGUGGGGGUUGGAAAAUUUCGGCGGUGUGGGCUGGACUGGCGGCUUAUCAGCUUGUUGGUGGGGUAGGGGCUUACCAGGGCUUUGACGGGUAGCCGGCCUGAGAGGUUGACCGGCCACAUUGGGACUACGAUAGGGCGCAGAAUGCUACGGGCGGCAGUAGUGGGGAAUAUGGCGCAACGGGGCGAAGUCUGAUGUAGAAACGCCGCGUGCGUAAUGAUGGCCUUUGGGUUGUAAACAGCUUUCGAAUGUGACGAAGCGGGCGUGACGGUAAUGGGUCAAGAAGCAACGGCUAACUACGUG